rnacentral:rRNA from 1 species
AUUGAACGCUGGCGGCAGGCCUAACACAUGCAAGUCGAAUGGUAACAGGAAACAGCUUGCUGUUUCGCUGACGAGUGGCGGACGGGUGAGUAAUGUCUGGGAAACUGCCUGAUGGAGGGGGAUAACUACUGGAAACGGUAGCUAAUACCGCAUAACGUCGCAAGACCAAAGAGGGGGACCUUCGGGCCUCUUGCCAUCAGAUGUGCCCAGAUGGGAUUAGCUAGUAGGUGGGGUAACGGCUCACCUAGGCGACGAUCCCUAGCUGGUCUGAGAGGAUGACCAGCCACACUGGAACUGAGACACGGUCCAGACUCCUACGGGAGGCAGCAGUGGGGAAUAUUGCACAAUGGGCGCAAGCCUGAUGCAGCCAUGCCGCGUGUAUGAAGAAGGCCUUCGGGUUGUAAAGUACUUUCAGCGGGGAGGAAGGGAGUAAAGUUAAUACCUUUGCUCAUUGACGUUACCCGCAGAAGGAGCACCGGCUAACUCCGUG